CCCGCUGAACUUAAGCAUAUCAAUAAGCGGAGGAAAAGAAACUAACAAGGAUUCCCCUAGUAACUGCGAGUGAAGCGGGAAGAGCUCAAAUUUGAAAUCUGGCAGCUCUCUGAACUGUCCGAGUUGUAAUCUAGAGAAGUGUUACCUGUGCUGGACCGUGUACAAGUCUCCUGGAAUGGAGCGUCACAGAGGGUGAGAAUCCCGUCUUUGACACGGACUGCCUGCAUGUUUAUGGUGCGCUCUCAAAGAGUCGAGUUGUUUGGGAAUGCAGCUCAAAAUGGGUGGUAAAUGCCAUCUAAAGCUAAAUAUUGGCGAGAGACCGAUAGCGAACAAGUACCGUGAGGGAAAGAUGAAAAGAACUUUGGAAAGAGAGUUAAACAGUAUGUGAAAUUGUUGAAAGGGAAACGUUUGAAGUCAGUCGCGUUGGUUGGGGAUCAGCCUGACAUUGUUGGGUUUACUUCCUGGUCGACGGGCCAACAUCAGUUUUGACUGCCAGAAAAAGGCCAAAGGAAUGUGGCACCUUUGGGUGUGUUAUAGCCAUUGGUCGUAUAUGGUGGUUGGGACUGAGGAAAGCAGCGUGCCGAAAGGCCGGGUUUCGACCACGUUCACGCUGAGGAUGUUGGCAUAAUGGCUUUAAGCGACCCGUCUUGAAACACGG
rnacentral:rRNA from 1 species